rnacentral:lncRNA from 1 species
CUGACAUGCCUCAGGAACCCGGGAUUCGUCGGACCAGACAAUGUUUUUCCACUCCUCAAUUGUCCAGUGUUGGUGAUCACGUGCCCACUGGAGCCGCUUCUUGUUUUUAGCUGAUAAGAGUGGAACCUGGUGUUGUCAUCUGCUGCAAUAGCCCAUCCAUGAUGAGUUGUGCAUUCCCAGAUGCUGUUCUGCACACCACUGUUGUACUUCGCCGUUAUAUGCCGGCACUGUCGUGCGUGAAAACCCAAAGAGGCCAGAUGUUGUUGAGAUACGGCGCGCCUGGCACCGACGAUCAUACCACGCGCAGUCGCUUAGGACGAAGCAAGGGGACAAGAUGAGAGGGAAAGUUCCGCUAACAAGGGCAACUACUAGGAGCUUUCAGAGCUAAAUGCCCUCCUGUUCCCUGAUUAAGAGUGGAUGACUACUCCACUACCAGUGUCAACUCUUUACUGAACUGAAGCCAUGUCUCAUGUGCCCUCUCAUCCACUGGCUCACUGAAUAUUUCCUCUCCAAGCACUUCAAAUCUUGUCCUCAUUGGAAGAGUUGAGCUCUUCUGCAACACCAUCCAUCCAUGAUAAGCUUGUCCUGCACUGGAAGAGUUGAGCUCUUCUGCAACACCAUCC